AGGCUCGUCAAUCGAAAUGAGUACAAUUUAAAUCCUUUAACGAGUACCAAUUGGAGGGCAAGUCUGGUGCCAGCAGCCGCGGUAAUUCCAGCUCCAAUAGCGAAUAUUAAAUUUGUUGCAGUUAAAAAGCUCGUAGUUGGAUCCAAGGUUAGGCAUGCCUGUCUGUUCUUAGUGGCAUGACUGUGUGUGUCUGCCUUUAUUAGUUGAAUGUUCCUUAUGGUGGUCUUCAUCGACUGCUAUGAUGUGCUCAACACGUUUACCUUGAAAAAAUCAGAGCGAUCAAGGCAGGCCUUCGUGCUUGUAUGAGGUUGCAAGGAAUAAUAGAAUAGGACUUCGGUUCUAUUUUGUUGGUUUUGAGAAUUGAAGUAAUGAACAAUAGAGACAGUCGGGGGCAUUUGUAUGGUGGCGUUAGAGGUGAAAUUCUGAGAUCGUCGCCAGACAAACUACUGCGAAAGCAUUUGCCAAGGAUGUCUUCAUUAAUCAAGAACGAAAGUCAGAGGUUCGAAGACGAUCAGAUACCGUCCUAGUUCUGACCAUAAACGAUGCCGACCUACAAUCGGGGGUGGUUUAUUAUAUUGACCCUCCCGGCUGUCCUCAGGAAACUUUAAGUUGGUUCUGGGGGGAAUAUGGUCUCAAGACUGAAACUUAAAGGAAUUGACGGAAGGGCACCACCAGGAGUGGAGCCUGCGGCUUAAUUUGACCCAACACGGGGAAUCUCACCCGGUCCGGACACUGGUAGGAUGGACAGAUUGAUAGCUCUUUCUUGAUUCAGUGGGUGGUGGUGCAUGGCCGUUCUUAGUUGGUGGAGUGAUUUGUCUGGUUAAUUCCGAUAACGAACGAGACUCUGUCCUGCUAAAUAGUCCAGUGGCAUCAAUCACUAUGUGAUUACAGCUGCUGUUACUUCUUAGAGGGAUUCGCGGAUUUAAACCGCAAGAAAUAGAGCAAUAACAGGUCUGUGAUGCCCUUAGAUGUCCGGGGCCGCACGCGCGCUACAUUGACAGUAGAAGCGAGUAUUUCUACCUGGUUCGAAAGAAUUGGGAAAUCUUCGAAUUACUGUCUCCACAGGGAUUGAGGUUUGCAAUUUUGCCUCAUGAACGAGGAAUUCCCAGUAGGCGCAAGUCAUCAGCUUGCGUCGAUUACGUCCCUGCCCUUUGUACACACCGCCCGUCGCUACUACCGAUUGAGUGCAUUAGUGAGGACCUCGGAUUGAGAACAUAGUGGCGCAAGUUACUUUGUUUUCGAAAAGUGGUUCAAAUUUGUGCAUCUAGAGAUAGUAAAAGUCGU
rnacentral:rRNA from 1 species